AAUUUGCCCCCCCCCCCCUCAAGGUGCUGGGGCUGCUGCAGACGGCCGCCGCCAACCGCUCGGUGGCCCGCACGGCGCUCAACGACCGCUCGUCCCGCAGCCACUGCGUCUUCCAGCUCCGCAUCGAGGGCUCCAACGCCUCCCGCGACCUCCGCUGCGCCUCGGUGCUGAGCCUGGUGGACCUGGCGGGCAGCGAGCGGCUGGACAAGUCCCUGGCCAGCGGCAAGCGGCUGCGCGAGACGCAAGCCAUCAACGCCAGCCUGUCCGCGCUGGGGCUGGUCAUCAUGGCCAUCUCCAACAAGGAGCCCCACGUCCCGUACCGCAACAGCAAGCUGACCUACCUGCUGCAGAACUCGCUGGGGGGCAGCGCCAAGAUGCUCAUGUUCGUCAACAUCUCGCCGCUGGAGGAGAACUUCGCCGAGUCGCUCAAUUCCCUGCGCUUCGCCAGCAAGGUGUGGGGGGAGUAGUAGUG
rnacentral:lncRNA from 1 species